rnacentral:rRNA from 1 species
AUGAACUAGCUUGCUAGUUUGAUGACGAGUGGCGGACGGGUGAGUAAUGCUUGGGAAUUUGCCUUUAGGUGGGGGACAACAGUUGGAAACGACUGCUAAUACCGCAUGAUAGCUACGGCUCAAAGGGGGCUUCGGCUCUCGCCUUUAGAGAAGCCCAAGUGGGAUUAGGUAGUUGGUGAGGUAAAGGCUCACCAAGCCGACGAUCCCUAGCUGGUCUGAGAGGAUGAUCAGCCACACUGGAACUGAGACACGGUCCAGACUCCUACGGGAGGCAGCAGUGGGGAAUAUUGCACAAUGGGCGCAAGCCUGAUGCAGCCAUGCCGCGUGUGUGAAGAAGGCCUUCGGGUUGUAAAGCACUUUCAGCGAGGAGGAAGGUUAAGUAGUUAAUACCUGCUUGAUUUGACGUUACUCGCAGAAGAAGCACCGGCUAACUCCGUGCCAGCAGCCGCGGUAAUACGGAGGGUGCGAGCGUUAAUCGGAAUUACUGGGCGUAAAGCGUACGCAGGCGGCUAAGUAAGUCAGAUGUGAAAGCCCCGGGCUCAACCUGGGAACUGCAUUUGAAACUGCUUAGCUAGAGUGCGACAGAGGGUGGUAGA